rnacentral:lncRNA from 1 species
AUGUCCUUCCCCAGCCACGGAGGAGCGAGUGUGGGGAAAAGGCGUGACAGAAACAGUCUGGCUUUCUCAUGCCUCUUUCAGGAGAACGAGGCCCAUUUGCCGUCCUGGCCUCCUCUGUGGGGAGCCUGCCAAGGAAGGGGGGCUGUGGCCCCCGGACAGAGUGUUCGAGCUGUUCCGGGUUUCAUGGGCUGGAAGAAACGCCGGGAUUCGGGGAAAUGUUGGAUGCGGCCCGUGGCUGUGUCCCUGGGAGGAGGGCUCAUCGGGGAGAUGCCUGGGCGCCCAGACCAUGUGUGUGUGACCUCAUGGGGCCCGAGGGAAGGGGUGAUGCUAACUACCGGUUGUGGCCGUGCACGUGACGACCGUGACACAGAAUGGCAGUGCUCGCUGGGGGCGGUUAGCCGUCGCAGGGGUUGCUGCGACCGCAGGCCUCAGAGCCCAACACCAAGACAGGGCUUCUGUUCUCCUGCUUCUGGUCCAGAGGAGUAAGCCUCCUCACUGGAGCACAGGUCUGAGGAAGCUAACCCCAAAGUCUGGAUGCCCCUCUUGUUAACAUCAACACCACAAGCCCCUCCAUUUUUCCGGCACAUGUACUAUUUCACUUAUGCUGAUUUGGGUCCCUACAAGAAGAUGGGAACGUUUCCUAUGAUAUAAAUGGGAAUAGGGUCAAAGCUGUGGCUUCCGUGUUUUAAGGACCCCAAGAACGUUUCCUUAACAGACCUUAGCAGGAGAUUUCCUUCUUGUGUGUGCCUCUAAAAGUCAUGGACUGCUUGGGCAGUGAGUGAUGCUAUGGUUUUGAAGAGAGAAGAAGGCCAUCCAGAGGAGUCAGGUCCUUUUGGGACGAGACGACUGGGUUGUACAACAAAUGACCUUGGCCACCAGGUGGCAUCACUGGCUGGCCUCAAGUGCAGCUCAUCCCAGGAGGCAACUGUUCCUACAGCCCCGAUAUGACCUCAUUCCACACACAGGCCAAUCCUUUCAGGGAGAGGAAAGGUGUCCCCCACUCCCCUCCCCCCCCCAACUUGUGAGCAGGAGCGUGGUAGGCAUCGCCACAGCCCUCCUCCCCUGACACCUGCAUCUGUCCCCGCUUCUGCCAGAGGAGCACCUUGUUUCUAAGUCCCCGGUCACUGCUCCUGCCCUCCUCCUCCUCCCUCCUCUUGGCUUCAGAGCCCCAGCUGCCAGGCAGGAUGAACCAGGGCAAGAUGGCACAGGGCAGAAGAGACUCUUCCUAGCCCUGGCAUAAUAAAAAGAAAACCCAAACACUUUUCUUUCUUUUA